CGGGGCGUAGCUCAGCUUGGUUAGAGAGCGCUUGGUUCGGGUUCAAGAGGUCGCUGGUUCAAAUCCAGUCGCCCCGA
rnacentral:tRNA from 1 species